rnacentral:tRNA from 1 species
GUGGUUGUGGCUCACUGGUAGAGCACUUGCCUAGCAUGCAUGAGGCACUGGGUUCAAUUCUCAGCACCACA